rnacentral:misc_RNA from 1 species
CCCGCACGUAUAGAUGGACAAGAAUAGGCUCCGGCUUAGUGUCUUAGCAGGCGAUUACUCCGCGGCGCUCGAAGCGCGUCGCGGUAUUUCGCGUAUUGUAAUUUCAACACGAGCGGGGUCAAAUCCUUUGCAGACGACUUAGCUGUGCGAAACGGUCCUGUAAGCAGUAGAGUAGCCUUGUUGUUACGAUCUGCUGAGGGUAAGCCGUCCUUCGCCUAGAUUUCCCCAAUGCGCGCCCUGCGAGACAGGGCCGCGUAGGGGUUGCGGUGCGCUUGUGUAGGGUAGGCCGGUUUGACUUGGCGUGUUCUGUUGGACGCGCGCAGGGAAAACCGGUCAUGCUGCGCGGCGAGUUUCGUAUAGGGUAGCCCGGUCUGACUUGGUGGAAUCGUCGCGGGCUUCGUCAGUUUGGGGGAGGCGGUGUAGGGUAGGAGGUAUAGGGUAGCCUACCCUACAGCGCAGGAUCCGACAGCGCGGGUGGUAUAGGAUAGGUGGUAUAGGGUAGGUAGACGGUAUAGGGUAGGUUGCGAAAUGAGUAUAGGGUAGGUCUCGUGGUGUAGGGUAGGCUCGGUUGAAGUCUCCCGCCGGUUAGGGGAAAUGCGUGCGAAAUGGUUUUGCUGUUUGGUGGCCGUGAGUCGAUUUUUUUGUUUUCCCAUACAAAUGAAUUUUGCGGAAAAUAAAGAGUGGCCCACGAGCCCGGUCUGGCGUGCGCCCCACCAAAAGCCCGUCGGUGGGUAUAUGAGGGAGGCUCGCCCGGCCGGCCGGGGCCCACUGAAAACUCCCGGGUAGGUAAAAGUUGGUGAGUUGUUAGUGGGCGCGGCUGGCUACUGAAUUUUUUCAGUGGAGGGAUUUUUCCCCAGUGGGUGCGUUUCAGCGGUUGGCCCACUGUAAAUUCCGCCCAGCGGGUGCGUUCCAGCGGUCGGCCCACUGCCAACUCGCGUGCGCGGUGGGCGGUAUAGGGUAGGUCGGUCAGACCCGGUAUAGGGUAGGCGUAUGGUAUAGGGUAGCCUACCCUACAGCGCAGAUGGUAUAGGGUAGCCCGGUCCGGCUUGUCGCACCCUCGUCCGCCUCGUCGGGACGCCAGACGCCGGACGCGGUAUAGGGUAGGUCGAAAUUUGGUAUAGGGUAGGCCGCUGGGUGUAGGGUAGGUCGCGGAAUCGGUAUAGGGUAGCCCGUUUGGUAUAGGGUAGGUGUCGAAAUCGGUAUAGGGUAGGUCGAAAUUGGGUGGGUUGGUGCUUUGUCGGGGUUUUGGGUAAAAGUGUAUAGGCUGUGUGGUUGAGAUCCGGAAAAGUCGAAAAUGUUGAAAACACAUCCGUUGAAAAAAUUAAAACAGCGAUUGAGCGCGCUGUAGCAGCCCUACGGCUACAGAGCCUAGUGCACUGUAAUCAGGGCGCUUCAGUGCAUAUAGUGCCCCAAAGCCCGCCUCGGUGUAGGGUAGUUGGUAUAGGGUAGGUGGUAUAGGGUAGGUUACCCUAUACCCCCGAUGGUGUAGGGUAGGUCGGUCCGCCUUGGUGCGCGCCGGAAGCCAGCUACCCUACAGCGCUCUUCGGCGCCGCACAGCGCACGCUACAGGCGUCGCCCGCCCGCGGGACCAGUCGCAUUCGACUCGCAGGCCUCGGUUGCGUCGACUGAGCUCGCGAAGAAAAAAUGCGUGCGAAAUGGUUUUGCUGUUUGGUGGCCGUGAGUCGAUUUUUUUGUUUUCCCAUACAAAUGAAUUUUGCGGAAAAUGAAAAGUGGCCCACGAGCGAUUCCUGGCGUGCGCCCCACUAAAAGUCCGUCGGUGGGUAUAUGAGAGGGGGGCAAAAAAGCCCGGCCGGAAACGGUCGGGCUUUCGAGCCUCCGCAACACUCUUAGUGGUCCCGUAAGGCGCCGCGACUUAUUUUCAGUACCUGAUCUUGCAGAUUCCCACUGCGUGGCCCUCUGAACAAGCUUGCAGGCUCCGGCUUCGCUAGCGGGGGGUUCAUAGUGGGCGUCGACCUCCACGAAAGCGACCGCCCAGGCGGUACGGCGUACUGGGGAUGCCUGGCUAUAGCGGACGUAGGCUUGCCUGCGACCGCUGCCGGUUGGGCUCUGUGGGUAACUGGCCGAUGGCUAGACCUACCAACUGAGCAUCGGGAGGCAACCUCUCGGGACUGACACCGCAAUGGUAGAUGUCCCGUGCAGCGUCCUCCUCUUGGGGCCCCUAAGCCACACGGCCCGCUACGGGUGCGGUGCGGCGGACGGAAGCCCUGGGGAAUUUAGAGGGGGAAAUCGGAAUGCCGACCACGGCGCUGCUGGCCUCGCCGACAGCGCUGUGUGCGGCGCGCCUUCACGGGCGCCGUCCAGUAACUUACCAUCUCUCCGGCGCUGAAACACGCGCCGGUGCC